GCCUCGGUUGUGCAGUGGUAGUAGCACGCGUCCCCGGACAGGAUGAAGCGCGGGUUCGAUUCCCGCCUGGCCUUGUUUUUGCU